rnacentral:rRNA from 1 species
UACGGAGGGUGCAAACGUUGCUCGGAAUCAUUGGGCGUAAAGCGCACGUAGGCGGCUCGUUAAGUCGGAUGUGAAAGCCCCGGGCUCAACCCGGGAAGUGCAUUCGAAACUGGCGAGCUUGAAUAUGGAAGAGGGUCGCGGAAUUCCCGGUGUAGAGGCGAAAUUCGUAGAUAUCGGGAGGAACACCGAUGGCGAAGGCAGGUCUCUGGGCCACUACUGACGCUGAGAAGCGAAAGCAUGGGGAGCGAACAGG